CGGAAGACUUAUUUAUGAUUUGAAAUUUUGACUUUUUCACUAUUAAAUUCCUAUAUUAUCAGUCUAAAAAUAACAGAUCAUGGUUAUUUAAAAAGAAAAGAACAAAAUUUUCCGUAUCAAGUAAGUUAACUAGUUAACUAGUCGGAUAAAACAACCGUACAAUUGACGAGAUAUCGACACUCAAUUACGACUACAUCGGGUUACUGUAGUUUUGGUCCUUAGACAUAUCGUGACUGCAAAUCGGAGAAGGUGACAAAAUGGCUGACAGCAGAGAAUUGAUACUCUAAAUUUAAAAUCGAUGGUGAUCUCUUAUCUAGCAGAAUAAAACUUUAAUAUCUAUGAAUUUGAGCAUUUUUAUACAGAAUAAACAUAAUAUCAAUUUUUGAUUUUUUUGCGAAGUUUCCCUUUAAAAA
rnacentral:lncRNA from 1 species